CCAAUAGCGUAUAUUAAAGUUGUUGCAGUUAAAAAGCUCGUAGUUGAAUUUCAGGCCUGGCUGGACGGUCCGCCCUUCGGGUGAGUACUGUCUGUGGUCGGGUCCUACCUUCUGGCGAAGCGUCAUGGCCUUAACCGGCCGUGGCGGGGAACCAGGACUUUUACUGUGAAAAAAUUAGAGUGUUCAAAGCAGGCAAUCGAUUGGAUACAUUAGCAUGGAAUAAUGGAAUAGGACAAUGGUUCUAUUUGUUGGUUUCUAGGACCGUUGUAAUGAUUAAUAGGGAUAGUUGGGGGCAUUAGUAUUCAAUUGUCAGAGGUUAAAUUCUUGGAUUUAUUGAAGACUAACUACUGCGAAAGCAUUUGCCAAGGAUGUUUUCAUUAAUCAAGAACGAAAGUUAGGGGAUCGAAGACGAUCAGAUACCGUCGUAGCCUUAACCAUAAACUAUGCCGACUAGGAAUCGGGCGAUGUUGACAAAAUGACGCGCUCGGCACCUCAUG
rnacentral:rRNA from 1 species